CAGCCGCCGCGGUAAUACGGAGGGGGCUAGCGUUGUUCGGAAUUACUGGGCGUAAAGCGCACGUAGGCGGCUUGGUAAGUUAGAGGUGAAAGCCCAGGGCUCAAACCUGGAAUUGCCUUUAAGACUGCCGAGCUAGUAGGUGAGAGAGGUGAGUGGAAUUCCGAGUGUAGAGGUGAAAUUCGUAGAUAUUCGGAAGAACACCAGUGGCGAAGGCGGCUCACUGGCUCAUUCUAGACGCUGAGGUGCGAAAGCGUGGGGAGCAAACAGGAUUAGAUACCCCCGUAGUCCCUGUCUCUUAUAC
rnacentral:rRNA from 1 species